rnacentral:misc_RNA from 1 species
AAGAUGAGGUGGUAAUUCAUAAUAUUAGACUACCUAAACAGAGCACUGUGGGGGACGUAAUUAAUGAACUUAAAACGAAGGUAGAGUUGUCUCAUCCUAAUGCAGAACUUCGGCUUCUUGAAGUUUUCUAUCACAAGAUUUACAAGAUCUUUCCCCCCAAUGAAAAAAUUGAAAAUAUAAAUGACCAGUACUGGACAUUGCGUGCAGA